CCCCUCCGCCGCGUUCUGUAGGGGGCACUGCAGGGUCGCGCAUUUCCAGAGGGAAAGUUCCCGGGAAACUGCCCCCCGCCCCCAAUUAGCUCUGCCCCGCGCGCCCGCCAGCCGGGCCGUCCCCGGCCCAGCCCUCGAGAAGCCUCCACCCGGGCCGGCGGGACUCGGCGGGGGCUGCUCCGACUCCGAGCCCGGGCGGCGACUGGCGGGCGGCCUGCGUGGGCCGGAACCACCUGCAGGCCGGGUGGCCCGGAGUGCAGUCAGCUCGCCCCCCGAGCCCCCUCCUGCCCUCUUCAGAGAACCGAUCUUGGUAAAUAACAACCGAGCUGCUUUUCUGCACAAACAUCAAAUCAGCUACUGUGAUCAUCUGCCUCUAGGUUUUCUUCACCAGCUCCCUCGUCUUCCUCCUGAGCACUCCACGGGGGCUUCCAGCUUGCAGCACAGAGCUGGCUGGUGUCCUGCACAUCCAACACAAGCUGUCAGUUUCCUGCCUAAGUGUGUGCCUCCUGCUCUGUGCCUGAUCUGUAGUAAUGACUCCCCAAGAGAGCCUCUGGCUUCUGCUGUCCCUGCUGCUCUUUGCCCCACCACCUGCUGAGGAGCCAUCCACAGCCAAAGUGGGAAAGGUCCUGUGUCCUGAUUACCGACUGUCCAUGUUCCUGUCCCUGUUUGCUUCCUGCUGCUCUUAUCAAGAAAAUUACAGAGGCCAGUGUAGCCGGACUUAUACCUCCAAAGCUGGCUCCCCGCCUCCUGUUCUCCAAGCAUCACCUUUCUCAAGAGGCACUUUGUUCCUGUUCUGCUGCUGCUGACUGCUUCUUUUGUCUUCAUUCUGUCUACAAGAAGAAAUUAACUUCCACUUCACAGCCUCCGCACCACUCCUACCUUGAAUCCUGUUGCACACACUGUGCUUCCUGUUUGGCCCCUUUUCACAUUCGCGUCCAUACCUGCCUCUCCCUUGCACCACUUCUAGAAAAUUCUCACUCUCCUUCCAGAAUCUGGCUCUGGAGCCCCUGGUGAGAUCUUCCCCAACCAACCUAGGGCUACCUGGAAGGUAUCAGUCACUUUGGUUUCUUGCAGCACAAGCACCGUGGUCCCACAUGGCCUACAGGACACACCCCCGUCUUGUGUUGAUCUGGCCUCAUGUCUCUCCUUCACUAGAGGAAGAACAUGUGGAAGACAGGUGCUGGCCGGCUUGGCCCUGUGAGCCUUGUGCGAGUGGGGAAUAGGUGUCUUUAGAAUGUGCUACCUGUAAUCAGGACCCAUGUCUAAGCUCAGAUGCCUUCAGGAGAUUUGGGUUAAUGAGAAGGUUCUAUAAAUCCAGGGCAGAGAUUUUGUUUCUCUAAUUGGCACACCUCCCCUCCUUCCUCUUCCUUAAAGCCAACUCAUCCUUAGCUGGCAAUCUAAGUUGAUUUGUGCCUCAAGGUUGGGUUGUUUGUGAUGUCUUCUUCGUUCCCUCUUCUCUCUCUCUUUUUUUCCUUCCAAAGUUCAAUUUUAAACCAAGUUAAAUGUUUCCUUUCGUUCUAUCUUCCUUUGACUUACCCAAGCUACCCCAAUAGGACCAACAACCUGCUUCUUGUCCUUGAUGGAAAUAAAGGCCGACUGUACUGGGUUCACAUCAAAUUAUGUCUGAAC
rnacentral:lncRNA from 1 species